UACAUCCCGAUCCACGGCAGCAGGUC
rnacentral:piRNA from 1 species